rnacentral:rRNA from 1 species
UACGUAGGGUGCGAGCGUUAAUCGGAAUUACUGGGCGUAAAGCGUGCGCAGGCGGUUCGUUAAGUCAGCUGUGAAAGCCCCGGGCUCAACCUGGGAACUGCGGUUGAAACUGGCGAACUAGAAUCUGGCAGAGGGGGGUGGAAUUCCACGUGUAGCAGUGAAAUGCGUAGAGAUGUGGAGGAACACCGAUGGCGAAGGCAGCCCCCUGGGUCAAGAUUGACGCUCAUGCACGAAAGCGUGGGGAGCAAACAGG